rnacentral:snoRNA from 1 species
ACCCUCUCAGGGUCACACCUAGAGAGUUUCCAGUACUCUACUAGUCUUGGCUACAGGAGGGAGAGUCAAGAAGAGGCCUAUUCAUUCCAUUCCUAGCUUGGGCAGUGCUAGUGAGUGGAAGGCAAUCUUCUACCAGU